GGGCCCGUGGCUCAGUCAGGAUAGAGCGUCAGCAUCCGGAGCUGAAGAUCGCGGGUUCAAAUCCCGCCGGGCCCA
rnacentral:tRNA from 1 species